rnacentral:rRNA from 1 species
GAUGAACGCUGACAGAAUGCUUAACACAUGCAAGUCUACUUGAAUUUGGGUUUUUUAACUUAGAUUUGGGUGGCGGACGGGUGAGUAACGCGUAAAGAACUUGCCUCACAGCUAGGGACAACAUUUGGAAACGAAUGCUAAUACCUGAUAUUAUGAUUAUAAGGCAUCUUAGAAUUAUGAAAGCUAUAUGCGCUGUGAGAGAGCUUUGCGUCCCAUUAGCUAGUUGGAGAGGUAACGGCUCACCAAGGCGAUGAUGGGUAGCCGGCCUGAGAGGGUGAACGGCCACAAGGGGACUGAGACACGGCCCUUACUCCUACGGGAGGCAGCAGUGGGGAAUAUUGGACAAUGGACCAAGAGUCUGAUCCAGCAAUUCUGUGUGCACGAUGACGUUUUUCGGAAUGUAAAGUGCUUUCAGUUGGGGAGAAAAAAAUGACGGUACCAACAGAAGAAGAGACGGCUAAAUACGUG